rnacentral:rRNA from 1 species
CAAUAGCGUAUAUUAAAGCUGCUGCAGUUAAAAAGCUCGUAGUUGGAUCUUGGUCCGCGGGCGGGCGGAAGUUCUCCGUACGAGUGGGUCUUCGCUGCCCGUCCCGGACUCUCCUCCGGUCCUCUCCCGGUGCUCUUGGUUGAGUGUCGGGGGCGGCCGGAACGUUUACUUUGAAGAAAUUAGAGUGUUCAAAGCAGGCCGCCACGCCUGGAUAGUCCAGCAUGGAAUAAUGGAAUAGGACCUCGGUCCCAUUGCGUUGGUCUUCGGAACGCGAGGUAAUGAUCGAGAGGGACUGACGGGGGCAUUCGUAUUGCGGCGUUAGAGGUGAAAUUCUUGGAUCGUCGCAAGACGGACGACUGCGAAAGCAUUUGCCAAGAAUGUUUUCAUUGAUCAAGAACGAAAGUCGGAGGUUCGAAGACGAUUAGAUACCGU